AAAAACUUAGGAUAGCAUUAAGACCAAGAGCCUUCAAAGCUUUAAGCGGGAGUGAGAAUCUCCUAGUUUUUG
rnacentral:tRNA from 1 species